UGAUUAACUAACCAUUGUGUUGUUUUGGAGAGUGAAAUGUAAGGCCAGUGAAGAACUAAUACAACGCACUUCCUCAUUGUGCUUCUGGCUAACACACUUCUAAAAGGAAGCAACACAUCGCACACACGUGGAAGAAAGAGUCUGCGGGGCUCUUUUUGAAAGGCGAGACUGUGAUCCCAUUGUUUGCUGAGAAAUCAAGGCGUUACCAACGGACGCAGACCAAAAGGACUCCGGGCGCGAUUGGAUAGACCAACAACCAGAGAUGUCAACAGAGCAGAGCAGAGCAGAGAGGAGACGCUUGUGAUGACGAUUCCACAAUAUCUGUGAACGAGUGUUGCCGUUUUUGUGGAAGAAAUGUUAAAAUAUCAGAGACUCCGUCCUGGUGAAGAAAGGAUGCAGGGAUGUCAUCAUCAUGUGCAUCAUCGCCUGGAGGAUCUAACUGGGAGUCAUGGUAUCGUAUAGCAGCAAAGAUGGAGAUAAGACUGGAGCUGAUCAGAGCAC